CGGCGGGGACGGCCCCCCCCAAAAAUCCUCACCUGGGGACGGCCCCC
rnacentral:ncRNA from 1 species